rnacentral:tRNA from 1 species
GGAGAGAUGGCAGAGUGGUCGAAUGCGGCGGUCUUGAAAACCGUUAUUCCCUGUGAGGGGAAUCGAGAGUUCGAAUCUCUCUCUCUCCUCCA